AGUGGGAUAGCUGGGUCAAAUGGUGGUUGGAUUCCAAGUUUCCUAAGGAAACUUUAUACUGCUUUCCAGAUUGGUUGCACCAAUUUGCAGUCCCACCAGCAAU
rnacentral:pre_miRNA from 1 species